UCAGCAGCCGCGGUAAUACGUAGGUGGCGAGCGUUGUCCGGAUUCAUUGGGUUUAAAGGGUGCGUAGGCGGCUGAUUAAGUCAGUGCUGAAAGCCCCCGGCUUAACCGGGGAGGUGGCAUUGAUACUGGUCGGCUUGAGUGCUGUCGAGGCAGGCGGAAUUGACGGUGUAGCGGUGAAAUGCUUAGAUAUCGUCAGGAACACCGAUAGUGAAGACAGCUUGCCAGAGAGCAACUGACGCUGAGGCACGAAAGUGUGGGGAGCAAACAGGAUUAGAUACCCUGGUAGUCCACACUGUAAACGAUGAUGACUCGCUGUUGGCGAUAUACGGUCAGCGGCCAAGAGAAAUCGUUAAGUCAUCCACCUGGGGAGUACGCCGGCAACGGUGAAACUCACAGGA
rnacentral:rRNA from 1 species